UCCUGGCGUAAUUGUCAGGGCCACACGUCUGCUCAUCACGGCAAUCUUAGUUGUCAUUAAAUGCAACUGCAACACUUAGUAAGUAAUGAAAGGAUGAAGCGGUGGUGCUCUUGAAAGAUGUAGUAGGCUAGAUAAC
rnacentral:ncRNA from 1 species